AUUGUAUUUAACGUUACAGACAAAAUGUCUUACACUCAUCCAGAGUCUUUAGUUUUGGCUUAAAUUAGGGCUAUCAAAUUUAUCGCGUUAACGGCGGUAAUAACAUUAUAAUAUUUAACGCAAUUAACGCAUGCGCUGCACUACCCACUCACGCAUUGUCGCGUUCAAUCUAUAAUGGCACCAAUUUACGUAUACAUCAAGCUAAAAGGCAACGUAAAAUGAGUAGAGAGAAUUUUGGCAGCCUUUGAAGCCUUUUUUUAAUUGGCUAAAGCCUUACAAUCCCCCUCUCAACAAUUAGAAAGGUCGUGGGAAGCAAUGUGGGGAAGAAAAUUAGUAGUUGAUCUUUUUCCUAACACCCUAUGUUAUUUCCCAACGCAGAGAAGAUAUAUCAAUGGGUACCACUACGCACAGUCAUGGUUGCACUUCCCAUCAUGCAUUUGGGCAGAAGUUAAAUGGCUACAGUAUCAUUUACUGAAAGCUCAAUAAAUACACUAGAUGGCAAUAUUUAGUCACAAUAUACAAAGUCACAAGUCUUUCUAUCCGUGGAUCCCACUCACAGAAAGAAUGUUAAUAAUGUAAAUGCCAUCUUGAGGAUUUAUUGUCAUAACAAACAAAUACAGUACUUAUGUCCUGUAUGUUGAAUGUA